rnacentral:rRNA from 1 species
UACGUAGGGAGCAAGCGUUGUUCGGAUUUACUGGGCGUAAAGGGCGCGUAGGCGGCAGAUCAAGUCAGCUGUGAAAUCUCCGGGCUUAACUCGGAACGGCCAAGUGAAACUGUCAAGCUAGAGUGCAGAAGGGGCAAUCGGAAUUCUUGGUGUAGCGGUGAAAUUCGUAGAUAUUCGCAAGAACACCAGUGGCGAAGGCGGCUCACUGGCCCGGUACUGACGCUGAGGUGCGAAAGCGUGGGGAGCAAACAGG